rnacentral:rRNA from 1 species
CAGUCGUGAGGAAGGUAGUGUAGUUAAUAGCUGCAUUAUUUGACGUUAGCGACAGAAGAAAGCACCGGCUAACUCCGUGCCAGCAGCCGCGGUAAUACGGAGGGUGCGAGCGUUAAUCGGAAUUACUGGGCGUAAAGCGCAUGCAGGUGGUUUGUUAAGUCAGAUGUGAAAGACCCGGGGCGUCAACCUCGGAAUAGCAUUUGAAACUAGGCAGACUAGAGUACUGUAGAGGGGGGUAGGAAUUUCAGGUGUAGCGGUGAAAUGCGUAGAGAUCUGAAGGAAUACCGGUGGCGAAGGCGGCCCCCUCGGACAGAUACUGACACUCAGAUGCGAAAGCGUGGGGAGCAAACAGGAUUAGAUACCCUGGUAG